AAUGGGGAGGAGAUACUGUUGUGGAUGGUGGACUUUAAGGCCAUGAGGCUCCCCGUCAGAUCCUAAACCACCAGACCCGUUGCAGAUGUAGAAUUGCUACUAUCGAACGCUGCAUCGAAAUAGACCGUCGUUCUCGAACCAUAUGAGCCAUAAAGCAUAACAAAAAAGUCUACAUUGGAUGUCGUUACCUCUCUUGAAAACCUAGGAAAGUCACGGAAGAUAUAGAGGCUGUCUUCUACCCAAGAACAACCUCGGGGGCAUCUAUCAUUAGAAAUUACUCUUCUGUACCGGAGAUUAGCAAAAUUCGGAAUAAAAUCCCAAGAGAUUUUCCAAAUAGUGAUUGCAAUUUUAGGGGGUAGCUGUAGGCCCCAUAGCUCCUUGUAAAAUUCUUUCAUUUCGGUCUGUAAUAAAUAAUUCCUAGGA